rnacentral:rRNA from 1 species
UACGUAGGCAGCGAGCGUUGUUCGGAGUUACUGGGCGUAAAGGGUGCGUAGGCGGUUGUUUAAGUUUGGUGUGAAAUCUCCCGGCUCAACUGGGAGGGUGCGCCGAAUACUGAAUGACUAGAGUGCGGGGAGAGGAUAGUGGAAUUCCUGGUGUAGCGGUGAAAUGCGUAGAUAUCAGGAGGAACACCGGUGGUGUAGACGGCUAUCUGGACCGUAACUGACGCUGAGGCACGAAAGCGUGGGUAGCAAACAGG